UAUCGUAGUUAGACUUGCGACGUAGUGGUCCUUGACUCCUUAAGAACUUCUAAUAACCAGCCUGCUAACUGGUUGUGGACCAUGAUGAUGCGGGUCUCCUUUGUUCAUGGCUAUGCAUUGAAACAAUCUUCUUUCCUUCUACUCCGUACCCCAUAAACAGGUUUCGAGCAUCUUGGACCUUGAUACACUGGCUUCACUUCACGCGCGUUUAGGCGUUGAAACAAGACCCAGAUCUAGCUUCUGCUACGUAGAUCAAGCUUCGUUUCCGUCGUUCGACUCCGUUCUACAUCGUAGUGCCGUACACACGCACUAAGUAUUCAUCCCUAUGAACCUGUACUCCAUAGAAACGAACUCUAAAUCAGCCCUUUGCCUUUUGAAACCUUCAGCACUCCCUAUUCCGAAGAGCUGGAUGGGAAGUCAUUUCCGUUGAUCUCCGUCCACAUCGAGCAACGACGAAACACUACGCAUCCUACCAUCCUCCUGGACGGGAUGGAUGCCUGAUCUUGGCCAUCCAAAGCCUGAGGCCGACUAAGUAUGUAUCGGUUAUGUAUGCUGCCAGCGGAGUUUCGAGUUUCAUGGAGAAAGAUAUUACUAAACUUUGUUAUAUUGAGGAACGUAAUGCUGAUAUCAGAUUCCUUUCCGAAUUCCCGCUGAUGGAGUUGCACCCUUACUACAGUAGUAGAGGAUUCAGAGCAAUUGGGCAAGUGUUUGUUUGUUGUUCUCGUGGAGUGGGCUGUUCAGGGUUGGUUGCUCAUAACGAUCAACUCGCGUGGCAUCCCCUGCAUCGAAACUCAAUCUAUAGCUCUUUGAGUUUUUCUACGUACGAGCCCUGUAUAUGCAUAUGUAUCUAUCAAAUGCCGCUGCAGAUCAACCAGGUUCAUCUGCAUGCGCAAAAGGGAGAGCGAUGUUGACAUGGCGACCAUCGGAAUGUGCUUCCCACCCACCUCGAUAUCUCAUAUGGAGUACACCUUCCACAGUGGGCUUCCAGAUAACAUCUGCAUUGUGGCUAACUAUAAUUCAGUCAGCCUCAAAGUCAAAAGCACAAUCGAGUUGUUCCAUUUGUUCCAUCAUCG
rnacentral:lncRNA from 1 species